rnacentral:rRNA from 1 species
GUAGGGAAUAUUGGGCAAUGGAUGCAAGUCUGACCCAGCCAUCCCGCGUGCCGGAAGAAGGCCCUCAGGGUUGUAAACGGCUUUUGACGGUGAAGAAUCGACAGGAUGCGUCCUGUUUUGACGGUAGCCGUUGAAUAAGCACCGGCUAACUCCGUGCCAGCAGCCGCGGUAAUACGGAGGGUGCGAGCGUUGUCCGGAUUUAUUGGGUUUAAAGGGUGCGUAGGCUGGAAGGUUAGUCAGCGGUGAAAAGCUGUCGCUUAACGAUAGUCUUGCCGCAGAUACUUCCUUUCUUGGAUGAGGAGGAGGCCACUGGAACGGAUGGUGUAGCGGUGAAAUGCAUAGAUAUCAUCCAGAACACCGAUUGCGAAGGCAGGUGGCUGUACCUUAAUCGACGCUGAUGCACGAAAGCAUGGGGAGCAAACAGGAUUAGAUACCCGGGUAGUCC